rnacentral:rRNA from 1 species
CUGGCUCAGGAUGAACGCUAGCUACAGGCUUAACACAUGCAAGUCGAGGGGCAGCAUUGGAGUAGCAAUACUUCAGAUGGCGACCGGCGCACGGGUGAGUAACACGUAUCCAACCUGCCGCUUACUCGGGGAUAGCCUUUCGAAAGAAAGAUUAAUACCCGAUGGUAUAAAGAGUUCGCAUGUUCUCUUUAUUAAAGAAUUUCGGUAAGCGAUGGGGAUGCGUUCCAUUAGAUAGUUGGCGGGGUAACGGCCCACCAAGUCUACGAUGGAUAGGGGUUCUGAGAGGAAGGUCCCCCACAUUGGAACUGAGACACGGUCCAAACUCCUACGGGAGGCAGCAGUGAGGAAUAUUGGUCAAUGGACGAGAGUCUGAACCAGCCAAGUAGCGUGAAGGAUGACUGCCCUAUGGGUUGUAAACUUCUUUUAUAAGGGAAUAAAGUGAGGGACGUGUCCCUUUUUGUAUGUACCUUAUGAAUAAGGAUCGGCUAACUCCGUGCCAGCAGCUGC